UGGCAUUGCUUUCUAGACUCUGAGGGUAGUUCUAACUUCCUAAUUCUGUCUCUGCAGAGAAGUCGAGAUGGCUACAAAUCAGCCUCAGAAAGUGACCAAGGGUCCAACAGCACUUGGGAGAAGGAGCACUGCACCAAUCCAGUAAUCCCAAAUAAGAAUAAGUGGUCAUUCUACCAUGUAAGAGGAUGAAGAGCCCAUCCAUCGAAGUACUGAAUUCUGCUGUGCCCUGUGACAAUUUCUUCACUGGCUUUUAUUAAUGAACAUUUAUAGAACUAUUUUGAUUGCAUAGAGCUGGGUUUGAGGUGACUUGCUUUUUUAAAAAUGUCUCCAAGGCUGCAUCCACACUGCAGAAAUAAUCUGCUUUGACACCACUUUAAAUGGCAUGGCUCAAUGCUAUGGAAUUAUAGGAAUUAUAGUUUGUUGGGGCACCAGAACCUCCAGCCCAAUAAACUACCAUUCCCAUAAUUCCAUAGCAUUGAGCUAUGGCAGUUAAAGUGGUGUCAAAGUGGAUUAUUUCUGCAGUAGGGAUGCUCAUAAGAUGCUGCCUAGUGUGGCCAAAACUCUAUACAGCCAGAGCUAACAAACAGCUGCUGAGGCAAGGGACAGAGAGGGAGAGUAUGCCCAGAGUUGUACCCCGUUUUGCAAGCCAUGAGCUUUAGAAAUCCUGGGGGUGAAGGGCAGAGAGAAAGAGAAAGGUCUGUACCCCCUUUUGAAAGCCAUGAGCUGAAGGGCAGAGAGAGGGAGAAAGGUCUGUACACUGUUUUGCAAGCUUUAGAGAUGCUUUUGGUAAAGGUGAAACCGCAAGAUUUGGGGAAAUUAAUGUUGAGAAAUCAUUCCUAUAUAUUUAAUGGUUAGAAUUCAAAAAUAGCUUAAAUUAGAGAUUGAAGAACUCUUUGUCUAACACAAGGAACGGAUGUAAGGUAUAGGAUGUCCAUAGGCUAAUUCUGUCUGAAGACAUCAGUGGAAUUAUUUUUGUUCUAGGAUGAUGCAUCCUGUGAUUCUUUCUAUGACUUAUUUAGCAUUAUAUAAUGAAUAUAUUUUGGAUUAAUAUAAUGGGUAUAAUCUCCUUGGUGAUAUUUGCAGUGUGAUUCAAAAUAUGGUGGAUGAUGUAAGAUGAGUUUGCCAUGAGUAUAAAAGAGAUAAGAAGCUGCUUUUCUGCACCAUGCAAAUCGAGAGUAUGGGCUCUUGCUUGGUCACUUGCUUUGAUUUUGCAAAACCAAAUAAAGUUUUGUUCCUGCUUUUAAAA